UCCCUGAAGUUGCUCAGACUCAUCACUCUCCAGAUACCUUGAGCACCUGUACAAACAUAAAGCCAGAAAGCAACUGAGCUCACUGCAAAAGAGCCUCUGCCAAGCCAGACCCUGCACUAAAGGCAAUCAAGGACAGCUACUAGUAAAAAAUAUUGUCCAUCCCAGGCUCCCAGGUCUCCAACAUCCUUACACUCACUCUCUUCUGUGAAGGUGAGCCUAGAAGGAAUCCCCAACUCCCUCUCUGCUCCACCAUGACUCGUGUGCCCAUCCCCGCUCUCAUGAUGUUCUUCCUUCUGAGAGAAAUAGGAGCUCAAUCAGUGACUCAGCCUGAAGACCAGAUUACUGUCUCUGAAGGGGAUCCACUGCAGGUGAACUGCACCUAUUCAUAUGGGGCAACUCCAUCUCUCUUCUGGUACAUCCAGCAUCCCAAUCAAGGGCCCCAGCUACUCUUGAAAUACAUAUCAGGGAGCAACCUGGUUAAAGGCAUCAAAGGUUUUGAAGCAGAAUUUGACAAGAGCAAAACCUCCUUCCACCUGAAGAAACGCUCAGCCCAAAGGAGUGACUCAGCUGGGUACUUCUGUGCUAUAAGUGCACAGUGAAGGAACCUCCAGAGGGAGCUGAACACAAACCUCUUGAGAUGAUGAGAUUUUCAGUGAAUCAAAUUUAUAUACUGCCAUAUCUCAUACACGGUCCCCCAUUCUGUGCAGACAGCAGUACAGGGGAGGAUGGAGCCUUCAGAAAUUGCUGAAUUUGUAUUCACAUUCAGAGCUGCUUUCUAGACAUAGGUACUUCAAAACAAAACAAAACAAAAAUCUUCCCUUUCCUGUUAUCAUUUAUGUCAGGCAAUAAACAGCCAUCACCUUAAAUCUAAAAUAGAGACAAAAAUUUUCUGGCUAUUCCCUUAAAGAAUAAUACCUUCUAUUACCCAGAGGAUUUUUAUUUCCCAGGGUCUUGCUGGAACUGGAAAUGAGGGAGGAAAUAGAAUCAGGACUAACCUGUAAACAUUUGCUGAGUAAGAGGGACAUGACCUUAAGUAAAACAGUCAUAGUUGAUACUGGUGCCUGGAGGUAGCCAUGGAAGAUAUGAUGGAAUUGAGAAGGACAAAGGGGAGACAAAUUUUCUUUAUUUCUGUUUUUUCUCUAACAAAGUCCAACAAAGACAAGAUAACAAGCUUCUAUUCUCUAUGAUCAUAUAAGGUAACUAUAUUCCUGCAAUUGUCUCAAGAUUUAAGUGGUGAAAGAGAUUUUCAGUGACCAACUAAAUCCAACCCCUACAUGGAAGGAAUUGCCAUUACAGUAUACUUGACAAGUAAGAAAUCUAGUAGUUUCUGCUAGAAGAUAAUCAAUUUUCAUCUACUCUAAAAUUCCCAUAAAUCCUAAGAUGUCAUCUGGACACAUAUCCUAGAAAAAUCUCCUUCCCUAAGUCUUUCCUUCCCCUCUCCUAAUUAAGUAUCAAAUA